CACACCCUAAACGAUGAAUACUAGAUGUUGGUCCUUUUUAGGAUCAGUAUCCAAGCUAACGCAUUAAGUAUUCCACCUGGGAAGUACAAUCGCAAGGUUGAAACUCAAAGGAAUUGACGGGGGCCCGCACAAGCAGUGGAGCAUGUGGUUUAAUUCGACGCAACGCGAAGAACCUUACCUAGGCUUGAAACGCAAGUUAAUCCUGAUGAAAGUCAGGGUUCCGCAAGGAGAAAUUGUACAGGUGC
rnacentral:rRNA from 1 species